UAUGGCUUUGUUUUUCUCCCUCUGGC
rnacentral:piRNA from 1 species